rnacentral:rRNA from 1 species
GACGAACGCUGGCGGCGUGCUUAACACAUGCAAGUCGAACGGAAAGGCCCUGCUUUUGUGGGGUGCUCGAGUGGCGAACGGGUGAGUAACACGUGAGUAACCUGCCCUUGACUUUGGGAUAACUUCAGGAAACUGGGGCUAAUACCGGAUAGGAGCUCCUGCUGCAUGGUGGGGGUUGGAAAGUUUCGGCGGUUGGGGAUGGACUCGCGGCUUAUCAGCUUGUUGGUGGGGUAGUGGCCUACCAAGGCUUUGACGGGUAGCCGGCCUGAGAGGGUGACCGGCCACAUUGGGACUGAGAUACGGCCCAGACUCCUACGGGAGGCAGCAGUGGGGAAUAUUGCACAAUGGGCGGAAGCCUGAUGCAGCAACGCCGCGUGCGGGAUGACGGCCUUCGGGUUGUAAACCGCCUUCGCCUGUGACGAAGCGUGAGUGACGGUAAUGGGCAAAGAAGCACCGGCUAACUACGUG